rnacentral:tRNA from 1 species
GGCAUGGCUCAAGCAGAAGAGCACCUGCCUAGCAAGCACAAGACCCUGAGUUCAAAUCCCAGUACUGCCA